GAACGAACGCUGGCGGCAUGCCUAACCCAUGCAAGUCGAACGAGACCUUCGGGUCUAGUGGCGCACGGGUGCGUAACGCGUGGGAACCUGCCCUUAGGUUCGGAAUAACUCCCCGAAAGGGGUGCUAAUACCGGAUAAUGUCUUCGGACCAAAGAUUUAUCGCCUUUGGAUGGGCCCGCGUUGGAUAGCUAGUUGGUAGGGUAAAAGCCUACCAAGGCGACGAUCCAUAGCUGGUCUGAGAGGAUGAUCAGCCACACUGGGACUGAGACACGGCCCAGACUCCUACGGGAAGCAGCAGUGGGGAAUAUUGGACAAUGGGCGAAAGCCUGAUCCAGCAAUGCCGCGUGAGUGAUGAAGGCCUUAGGGUUGUAAAGCUCUUUUACCCGGGAUGAUAAUGACAGUACCGGGAGAAUAAGCUCCGGCUAACUCCGUG
rnacentral:rRNA from 1 species